rnacentral:rRNA from 1 species
AUUGAACGCUGGCGGCAGGCCUAACACAUGCAAGUCGAGCGGAUGAAGGGGGCUUGCUCUCUGAUUCAGCGGCGGACGGGUGAGUAAUGCCUAGGAAUCUGCCUGGUAGUGGGGGACAACGUUUCGAAAGGAACGCUAAUACCGCAUACGUCCUACGGGAGAAAGCAGGGGACCUUCGGGCCUUGCGCUAUCAGAUGAGCCUAGGUCGGAUUAGCUAGUUGGUGGGGUAAAGGCUCACCAAGGCGACGAUCCGUAACUGGUCUGAGAGGAUGAUCAGUCACACUGGAACUGAGACACGGUCCAGACUCCUACGGGAGGCAGCAGUGGGGAAUAUUGGACAAUGGGCGAAAGCCUGAUCCAGCCAUGCCGCGUGUGUGAAGAAGGUCUUCGGAUUGUAAAGCACUUUAAGUUGGGAGGAAGGGCAGUAAGUUAAUACCUUGCUGUUUUGACGUUACCGACAGAAUAAGCACCGGCUAACUUCGUGCCAGCCGCCGCGGUAACAC